rnacentral:lncRNA from 1 species
UCAUCCAAAUUGUGCUUCUCUUUGAAGCCGUGUCGAUACUUCAUUUUCGUUCAUCCGAAUUGCGCUUUUUUUCUACAUUUUCGUUCAUCCAAAUUGUGCUUCUCUUUGAAGCCGCAUAUACCGCCGCAGGGGUAUCAGAUGUGUGUGGCUUCUGCUUCAAAAGGAAGUUAUUUAGCUACACACAGCACACAUGUCUUCGAUUUCUGUAGAGGGAGCUUCUCGUGGAGGUGGAGAAAAGAUUCAGAUUCCACCAUCCGGAGGUACUAUCACCCCCGUUCACGUCUGAUCCACCUUCAAAGAAGGACCCAGUCUUUCACAAAGCAAGAGCAAGCAGAGGUAGUGAAGGAGCCAGUCUUUCACAAAGCAAGAGCAAGCAGAGACCAUAGUUCAGCUUGCAUUGCAUGCACGCACGUUACAUUAUUUAUUUAACGCUCGACACUUCCAAGUGGCUAUAGCGCCAAAAGCCCCUACCGAACUACU